rnacentral:rRNA from 1 species
AUAUCAGUAAGCGGAGGAAAAGAAAUUAACUAAGAUUGCCUCAGUAGCGGCGAGCGAAGUGGCAUAAGCUCAAACUUAAAAUCUGGGACCUUCGGUCUCCGAAUUGUAAUCUAAAGGGUAUGAUAAAAGGUUGGAUAGAGGAAUAAGUCUCCUGGAACGGAGCACCAGAGAGGGUGAAAGUCCCGUAUUGGUCCUCUUGAAAACCGAAUGUCUAACCUCAUAGAGUCGGGUUGUUUGGGAUUGCAGCCCUAAAUGGGAGAUAAACUUCUUCUAAGGCUAAAUAUUUAUGGGAGACCGAUAGCGCACAAGUA